CACGGGUCCCUAAGCAAAUUUACACAGUUUUGCGCUCCAAGGUCCCAAAUUCCAAAUCUUUACAGCCAAGUUUUACAAGCCCCUGUUUAGAUCCAUUCUUCCAAAAAGUGCUCAUUUCUCUAAAAGUUUUGGCUGUUUGGUUGCAUCUAAACAUGCCCUAUAUUGAGGUCUUGUUUAGUUCCUCACCCAAAAACUUUUCAUCUAUCACAUCGAAUCUUUGGACACAUGGAGCAUUAAAUGUAUACGAAAACAAAAACUAAUUGCACAGUUUGGUUGUAAAUCACGAGACGAAUCCUUUAAGCCUAAUUAGCCCAUGAUUAGCCAUAACUGCUACAGUAACUCACAUGUGUUAAUGAUGAAUUAAUUAAGCUUAAUAAAUUCGUUUCGCAGUUUCUAAGCGACCUAUGUAAUUUAUUUUUUAUUAGUAUCCAAAUACUCCUAAUAUCUUGUGAAACAUCAGAUGUAACACUCAAAAACUUUUUACUCUUCAUCUAAACAAGGCCUGAGUCGGGAAAAAACAACAAAAAAAUAAAAGCAGUAUCUUCUCCGAGACCAAGGCAAAAGUAAGCAGAUAGUAACAUAUUUGUAUUCCGCCAUUCAUAUGGGCAGUUUGGUUGUAUCAUGCGCAGCGAAUCAAUCCACCAUCAGCAGAUUUUACCAUGACCUAUCGACUACCAACAUUGUUUUGGAGCCCAGAAUUUCGCUGCUGACCAUUUGCGGGCGGUGACGCGUACCCUCGGUCGUCAUUUAAUUGGCACCGCUGUUUCAGAUAUUAAGAUGUGACCGUCCUCUCUCGUACGUGCUGAUCUGACACGCAUCUAUAUAUAUCAUCAUAGGGUAAUAAGCAUUUGUCCCUGUGCUCAUAAAGUCCUCUAUCUUAAACCAACGACCGGUACGUCUAUGAUUAGGGCUUCAAUUUUGACUAUAUCUGUUAUUAUCUCCCCGUUAAUCUGCAUAUUCAGCCGAUACAAGUUAAAACAAAAGGG
rnacentral:lncRNA from 1 species